GAUGAACGCUGGCGGCGUGCCUAAUACAUGCAAGUCGAGCGAACAGACGAGGAGCUUGUUCCUCUCUCGUUAGCGGCGGACGGGUGAGUCACACGUGGAUACCCUACCUAUCAUUCUGGUAUAACUUCGGGACACCGGAUCUUAUCCCGUAUAAUAUAUUGCACCAUAUUGUUCAAUAGUGAGAUACGGUUUUUCUGUCACUUAUCGAUGGUUCCGCGCCGCAUUAGCUAGUUGUUAAGGUAACGGCUUACCAAGGCAACGAUGCGUAGCCGACCUGAGAGGGUGAUAGCCGACACUGGAACUGAGACACGGUCAAGACUCCUGAGGGAGGCAGCAGUAGGGAAUGUUACGCAAUGGGCGAAAGCUUGACGGAGCAACGCCGCGUGAGUGAUGAAGGUCUUCGGAUCGUAAAAAUCUGUUAUGAGGGAAGAACAAAUGUGUAAGUAAAUAUGCACGUCUUGACGGUACCUAAUCAGAAAGCAACGGCUAACUACGUG
rnacentral:rRNA from 1 species